rnacentral:rRNA from 1 species
UACGAAGGGGGCUAGCGUUGCUCGGAAUCACUGGGCGUAAAGCGCACGUAGGCGGCUUUCUAAGUCAGGGGUGAAAUCCUGGAGCUCAACUCCAGAACUGCCUUUGAUACUGGGAAGCUCGAGUCCGGAAGAGGUAAGUGGAACUCCGAGUGUAGAGGUGAAAUUCGUAGAUAUUCGGAAGAACACCGGUGGCGAAGGCGGGUCUCUGGGCCGAUAUUGACGCUGAGGAGCGAAAGCGUGGGGAGCGAACAGG